AUGGCAGACAUUGUGCUUGGCCUGACCAAGUCGGUGGUGGAGGGGACGCUGAGCAAGGUCAAGUCGGCGAUCGAGGAGGAGGCGGGGCUGAAGGUGAGGGUGCAGCACGACCUGGUGUCCAUCACUGGCGAGUUUGAGAUGAUGCAGUCCUUCCUUAACGCCGUCGACAGGGAGCAGGUGCAGAACAAUGUGGUGAGGACCUGGGUGAGGCAACUGCGUGACCUGGCCUAUGAUGUGGAGGACUGCAUCGAGUUCGUCAUACACGUGGAUAACAAGUCGUCGACCUGGUGGCGCCGCCUGCUUCCGUCUUGCAUGGUAGCGGUGCCGCCCCUGGACGAGGCUGUCUCUGAUGUGAAGCAACUCAAGGCCAGGGUCGAGGAUGUGAGCCAAAGGAACAUGCGCUACAACCUCAUCAGUGACCCCGGCAACAAGCCGGCCAUCACACAGCAGCAGCCAUCCGCCAUCAGCGGCGCAGCAGCAUUUGACAUGCUUCUCGAGGCAAGGGACAACGCAAGGAACCAGUGUGGCUUAUGGGAUCUCGCUGAGUUGAUUACCAGAAAUGAUGAGGACCUCCAAAUCAUCUCGGUGUGGGGGACAAGAGGCAAUCUUGGAACAACAUCCAUCAUCAGGAAGGCCUAUGAAGACCCUGAGAUAUGCCAAAACUUCACAUAUCGUGGCUGGGUAAAGCUCAUGCACCCUUUCGAUCCCCAUAAAUUCAUCUGGAGCUUGUUGAGUCAAUUCAUCACAAAUUCUCACCGACAACAAGGAGAUGUUGUAGAUGUGGAUACCCUUUGGACGGAGAUAGAGGCAGCGACGGAGAUGCAAGGCGGACACAUCAAGAAUUUCAUCAAUAGAGUGAACAAGAAUAAGUACCUCAUUGUGUUGGAAGACCUGCCCACCAUGGUAGAGUGGGAUAUCAUCAGAAUAUACCUGCCAGACAUUAAGAAUGGCAGCCGAAUUGUCGUGUCGACUCAACAGUUUGAAAUUGCAAGCUUGUGUACUGGACAUCCUUAUCGAGUAUCGGAGCUCAAGAAAUUCUCAGAUGAGCACUCUGUCUGUGUCUUUUUCAAGGAGGUUUCUCCAAGCCUUGGAGACGAAGACGAGGAAACAUAUAGGGCGAUGAGCAGCUAUGAAGGUUCUGAACACUAUGGAUAUGAAGGCGAGGAGAUCAGUUUGGUGAUGCCUACGAAUGAAAUGUCAGCAGAGGAUGAAUUAAAGCACACAUGGGGUCUUCCCUUCAAGAAAGAUCUCAACUCAAAAAGGGUAGAGGCCGAUAUCUGGAAGAAAAAGUUUCAGCCUGUUGGACGCAAGAUGGAAAAGAGAGAUCUUUCUUUCAUGUUAUUUCAGCCAGCAAAAGGCCGCAAAGAAGUGAUUUCAGUGUGGGGGAUUGCUGGCGUUGGGAAAUCUGCUCUCGUCAGAAUGGUGUACUAUGAAGAUAUACAGAAUUAUAACCGCUUUAACAAGUAUGGCUGGAUCAAUGUGUCCCAUCCGUUCAAUUUAAGGGAUUUCUCUCGAAGCUUACUUUCGGAUUUGGACCCAGAAGCUCUUCAAGGCAAGGGGACUUCCGAUUUUGGUAUGAUGGGAAUCAAAGAUCCGAUUCAAGAGUGUUAUAAGCUUCUGCACGAAGAUAAAUGUCUUGUUGUUAUUGAUGGUCUGCAGUCCACGGAUGAGCGGGACUUAAUAAAAGCUGCCUUACCAAAUGGACCUUCUAAAAGUUGUGUUAUUGUUGUUACUGAUGAAGCAAGUAUUGCCACACAUUGUGCAGUGCCAGAUGAUGCCGUGUUCAACGUCAAAGGUCUAGAAGCUGAUGAAGCCCUUGAACUAUUCAAACAGGUAUAUGCAGAGACUGAAAGGUUUGAUAUAGACCCCGACAUGAUGGAGCAAGCAAAGCCCAUCUUGAACAAGUGUGGUGGACUACCGGAAGUAAUAGUUGCUGUUGGUGGCUACUUGGCCACCAAAACAAACAUGGAUAUGUGGUUGAAUCUGAAUGAUAGCUUUAUGCACCAGUUGGAAACCAACCCAGGGUUUGAUAGUCUCCGGGGUCUAUUAACCUGGAUGCAUUCAUAUUUUCGUACUUGCCUGGAUUCCCUCAAGCCAUGUAUAUUCUAUGUGUCAAUUUUUCCUCGAGGCCAGUGUAUUCGGAGGAGGCGUUUGGUGAGAAGGUGGAUCACAGAAGGCUAUUCAAGGGACACUGACAUCAAUACCGCAGAGGAGGAUGGGGAGGGUUUUUUCUCCAAGCUUGUUGACCUAAGCAUUAUCCAGGAUCCAUCACAGGCAGCCACUGAAAUAUACAGAUCGAAGGGAAUGAGAAUUGCCUUGUGCCAAGUCAAUGGUUUUGUUCGUGAGUACAUCGUCUCACGCCCUAUGGAAGAGAACCUUGUCUUUGUGUUGGAGGGGCGUUGCAGUGUGAACUCGCAACGCACUGGGCGGCAUCUUGCAAUAAGGAGCAGCUGGGACAGGGACAUCAAUGUGUUUGAGAGCAUCGACUUCUCACGGCUACGGUCUUUGACAGUGUUUGGAAGGUGGGAAUCAUUCUUCAUCUCUGCCAAUAUGAGGCUGCUUCGGGUGCUUGAUCUGGAGGACACGUCAGAUCUGACAGAUAAUGACCUCGAGAAGAUUGGGAAGGUACUACCUCGCCUCAAGUUCCUUUCCUUACGAGGAUGCAGAAAGGUUAGCCAUUUGCCGAGUUCAUUGGGUGACCUGAGGCAGCUCCAGACUCUAGAUGUCAGACACACCUCAAUAGUCAGGCUGCCACCCGCCAUCAUCAAAUUACAGAAGCUGCAGUACAUCCGUGCCGGCAGCACAAUACCAAUUAGUGAUGGCACAGCAGACAAGCCAUCAACACCUUGUGUUAUGGUAUCCUGGUUGUCUGAGCUCUGCAGACGCCCACUUGUUUGCGGCGUUGUGGCACCUAUGAGGAUUGGUAAAUUGACCAACUUGCACACGUUGGGUGUUGUUAACGUCAGAGUUGCAGGAGGGAAGGCCAUUCUAAAAGAACUGAAGAAACUUACCCAGUUGCGCAAGCUCGGAGUAUCCGGCAUCAGCCGGAAAAACAAUCAGGAAUUCUGUGCUGCGGUGUCAGGUCAUGGCCAUUUGGAAUCCCUGACGGUUUGGCUCGAGAAGCAUAACCAUGGAUGUUUGGAUGACAUCUUCCCACAUCCGGAGAACCUACAGAGCCUUAAGCUGUACGGGCUUACCGACAAGUUGCCAGUAUGGAUCAAGCAGCUUCACAAUCUCACAAAGUUGAAUUUGGAGAUGAUGAUAUUAGGGCGAGAAGAUACAGAGAUCCUCGGAGAUCUACCAAAUCUAGUUAUUCUGCGUCUUCUUAUCAAGCCGAUUCAAGAUGGCCAGCUCCGUUUCUGUCCCAAGCCAGAGAAAGCUGAUUCUAGUGUUUUUGUCUCGCUCCAUGUCCUGGAGAUUGCUUGCAACUCCAGUUUACAUGUCAGGUUCAAACUGUUGGCAAUGCCGCAUCUUGAGCUGCUGAAGAUUCGGUGCGGUGAUGGGAUGUCGUCGCGGAUAUCUGGGCUAGAGCAUCUCUAUUACCUCAAGGAGGUCUCUGUCAAUGGUUCAUGUGACAUGGAACUCCAGGAGGACUUGCAGAGCCAACUUGAUAAGCACUCAAGGUCAAACAAGCCUGUUUUGAAGCUCGAGACGGUCAGUGCCAAGUAA
rnacentral:rRNA from 1 species